rnacentral:misc_RNA from 1 species
UCCAAGCCUUUCUCAUGAAAGGAAAGAAAAUGGCGGGUGCAGUAGAUUUUUCAGGUUUUACUGAUAAUCAAGAUGGAAUGGCCGAUCUCAUGUCUAUGCCAAAGACUAUUACAGUUGAAGAACAAGAGGAAUCUCCACCAAGGUCACAGCAAAGAUCAGGAGACGCAAUGACUGUCCCUGAGCGCAUAGUAAUCAACGGUGAUCAAGGCGGGUAUUUGGCAUCGAAAAACGAAAUUCCUCGUGAAAUGAAAGAUGAAUUUGUACCUAAUAUGUUCAUGGGAGGAAUGAGUACACCACCGAGGACUCUGACUGUAGAUGAUACCACAUCUGCUUACUAUCCAGCCACUAAGUCGACAUCAAAACCAAAUGUUGGUAUCAAAGAAAGGCGAAUGAAACAAGAUGACAGAACAAAUGUUGACGAAGAAAGUAUACGCACUGGACUGGAGAUCAUUAAUGAAGUAAACCCUCUUCAAAGCGAUAGUGAAGAGAGCUUUGCACACGAGUAUGAGGUUGUUGAUCUGCGCAAGAAUGUUGUAAAACUGAAUAGACGUGUUGCCAUNUUGGAGCGUGAAAUUGCACAAAAUGGAACGUUGGGAUUCUGGUCAAAACUGGUACUUUUCACAUUUACUUUCAUAAAUCCCAUUAUCUUAUCUUGGUUGUUUGGUCGAAGAAGAUAGACUGUUCUUGAUGUACACUAGACAAAUUUAUAGGAUAUGAUUGUUAAACACCUACUGGCAUCAUUGGUAUUAGUCAGAGUGGAAUAUCAGAUGACAGUGUACAUAUAUUAUACUCAUCAUGCUAAACAAUUUGCUGAUUCCACCUGGAGAAAUCUUUAUAACAUUCUUAUGAUAUAUAAGUUCUUAAAAAAAUGAUUUUCCAUCAUCUGCAAAAAGGAGAUUGACUGUCUGGCUGAUUUUAGUAAACAAUUCUUGAUGGGAAAUGAUGCUAUUUUGUUUGCAUUUCAUUACCUUAAAAUUCGCCAUUGUUUGCAUAUACCUUUAUUAGAUGUAAAUGAACACUGACAGUAAUUAUCAUGAAGUUAAUGUUCAGUCUCUUGAAUAUGUAUUGAUGAUCUGGUGAUCUGAUGUUACUUCAAGUGGUUGAUGAUUUAAUAUUAAUAUACAACUCUUAAUGUACUGUAAAUAUAAUAUGUGUGUCAUGUUGUGUUUAGCUACAGAACAAGAUUCCUUGGUAAACAGCACCCAGUGCAAUAUNUUCGGGCUGUCUUAUUGUAGUGAUGCAAUGUAUAUCAUGUAUCCAAUGCAAUCCUCAUGGAAAUUAUUUGUNAAUGAUACUACGUUUUGUUCUCA